AAUCGAACCCGGAGAUAGCUGGUUCUCCUCGAAAUAGCUUUAGGGCUAGCCUCAUGGAUCAUUGGUGGGGGUAGAGCACUGAAUGUGCGCGGGGGCCACAAAGCCUACCAAACGCUAUCAAACUUCGAAUACCAUACAAUGCAGACCAUGGGAGUCAGUCCGCGAGAGAUAAGUUCCGCGGGCAAAAGGGGAACACCCCAGAUCAACCGCUAAGGUCCCCAAGUUCACGUUAAGUGGAGAAGGAUGUGGAAUUGCACAGACAACCAGGAUGUUGGCUCAGAAGCAGCCACACAUUUAAAGAGUGCGUAAUAGCUCACUGGUCGAGUGAUUGUGCGCCGAAGAUGUCCGGGGCUAAACGUGACACCGAAGCGAUGGGUGCAUCUGAAGAAGAUGCGCGGUAGAGGAGCAAUGUGCAGAGGCAGAAGCCGUAUCGAGAGGCACGGUGGACACUGCACAAGAGAGAAUGCCGGUAUGAGUAGCGAGAGGCAUGCGAGAAACAUGCCCGUCGAAAGCCCAAGGUUUCCUGGGGAAGGUUCAUCCGCCCAGGGUAAGUCGGGGCCUAAGCCGAGGACGGAAGUCGUAGGCGAUGGACAGCAGGUGUAGAUUCCUGCACUACCGAUGGAAUGAAGCAGUGACACAGAAGGAUAACUCGAGCAGGGUGAUGGUCAACCCUGUGCAAGCAUCGAGGUUGGGUUGUAGUGAAGUACGCAACCCUAUAAGCUGAGAUGUGAUGCGGACCGAAAUUUCAGUAGGGAAGCGAGUGAGUUCACGCUGGCGAGAAAAGCUGCUAGUAUAUCCAAAGGUACCCGUACCGGAAACCGACGCAGGUGGGCGAGGAGAGAAUCCUGAGACGAACGGGAGAACCCUUGUUAAGGAACUCGGCAAAAUGACCCCGUAACUUCGGGAUAAGGGGUGCCUGCGAGAGCAGGCCGCAGAGAAUAGUCACAAGCGACUGUUUAGCAAAAACACAGGUAUCUGCGAAAGCGAGAGCUGACGUAUAGGUGCUGACACCUGCCCGGUGCUGGAAGGUUAAGGGAACAUGUUAGAGCAAUCGAAGCAUCGAACCGAAGCCCCAGUAAACGGCGGCCGUAACUAUAACGGUCCUAAGGUAGCGAAAUUCCUUGUCGGGUAAGUUCCGACCCGCACGAAUGGUGUAACGACUUGUGAGCUGUCUCAACAGGGGGCCCGGUGAAAUUGAAGUAUGGGUGAAGAUGCCCAUUACCCGCGACUGGACGGAGAGACCCCGUAGAGCUUUACUGCAGCCUGAUAUUGAGUUUCGGUAACUGAUGCACAGGAUAGGUGGGAGUCUGAGAGACAUGGGUUUCGGCUCGUGUGGAGACGAUGUUGGGAUACCACUCUUCGGUUACUGAAAUUCUAACAUAGCUCUGUGAAACCAGAGGAUGGACAGUGUCAGGUGGACAGUUUGACUGGGGCGGUCGCCUCCGAAAGAGUAACGGAGGCGCCCAAAGGUACCCUCAGAAUGGAUGGAAACCAUUCGAAGAGCGCAAAGGCAGAAGGGUGCCUGACUGCGAGAUUGACAAAUCGAGCAGAGACGAAAGUCGGGCUUAGUGAUCCGGCGGUAUUGAGUGGAAAAGCCGUCGCUUAACGGAUAAAAGCUACCUCGGGGAUAACAGGCUGAUCUCCCCCAAGAGUCCACAUCGACGGGGAGGUUUGGCACCUCGAUGUCGGCUCGUCGCAUCCUGGGGCUGAAGCAGGUCCCAAGGGUUUGGCUGUUCGCCAAUUAAAGCGGCACGCGAGCUGGGUUCAGAACGUCGUGAGACAGUUCGGUCCCUAUCCAUCGUGGGCGUAGGAGUCAUGAGAGGAGCUGUUCCUAGUACGAGAGGACCGGAAUGGACGCACCACUGGUGCAACUGUUGUCGUGCCAACGGCAUAGCAGGGAAGCGAAGUGCGGAUGGGAUAAACGCUGAAGGCAUCUAAGCGUGAAGCCCACCUCAAGAAUAAGACUCCACAAUAGACCCCUGGAGGACUACCAGGUAGAUAGGUCAUCGGUGGAAGCGCUGUAAGGCGUGUAGCUUGAUGAUACUAAUCGGUCGAAAGCUUCAUUUA
rnacentral:rRNA from 1 species